rnacentral:rRNA from 1 species
AGUGAACGCUGGCGGUAGGCCUAACACAUGCAAGUCGAGCGGCAGCACAGUAAGAGCUUGCUCUUACGGGUGGCGAGUGGCGGACGGGUGUGGAAUACAUCGGAAUCUACUUUUUCGUGGGGGAUAACGUAGGGAAACUUACGCUAAUACCGCAUACGACCUACGGGUGAAAGCAGGGGAUCUUCGGACCUUGCGCGAUUGAAUGAGCCGAUGUCGGAUUAGCUAGUUGGCGGGGUAAAGGCCCACCAAGGCGACGAUCCGUAGCUGGUCUGAGAGGAUGAUCAGCCACACUGGAACUGAGACACGGUCCAGACUCCUACGGGAGGCAGCAGUGGGGAAUAUUGGACAAUGGGCGCAAGCCUGAUCCAGCCAUACCGCGUGGGUGAAGAAGGCCUUCGGGUUGUAAAGCCCUUUUGUUGGGAAAGAAAAGCAGCAGGUUAAUACCCCGCUGUUCUGACGGUACCCAAAGAAUAAGCACCGGCUAACUUCGUG